rnacentral:rRNA from 1 species
AUUGAACGCUGGCGGCAGGCCUAAUACAUGCAAGUCGAACGAUAGAAGAGGGCUUGCUCUCUUCGAAAGUGGCGCACGGGUGCGUAACGCGUAUGCAACCUACCUUAAUCAGGGGGAUAGCCCGAAGAAAUUCGGAUUAACACCGCAUAAAAUCACAGUACAGCAUUGUACAAUGACCAAAUAUUUAUAGGAUUAAGAUGGGCAUGCGUGACAUUAGCUAGUUGGCGGGGUAACGGCCCACCAAGGCGACGAUGUCUAGGGGAUCUGAGAGGAUGACCCCCCACACUGGUACUGAGACACGGACCAGACUCCUACGGGAGGCAGCAGUAAGGAAUAUUGGUCAAUGGAGGCAACUCUGAACCAGCCAUGCCGCGUGCAGGAAGACAGCCCUCUGGGUCGUAAACUGCUUUUAUUCGGGAAUAAACCUACUUACGUGUAAGUAGCUGAAUGUACCGAAGGAAUAAGGAUCGGCUAACUCCGUGCCAGCAGCCGCGGUAA